UACGAAGGGGGCUAGCGUUACUCGGAAUUACUGGGCGUAAAGCGCGUGUAGGCGGUGCACCAAGUCAGAUGUGAAAUCCCAAGGCUUAACCUUGGAACUGCAUUUGAAACUGGAGCACUUGAAUAUGGUAGAGGAUAGUGGAAUUCCUAGUGUAGUAGUGAAAUACGUAGAUAUUGGGAGGAACACCAGUGGCGAAGGCGGCUACCUGGACCGGUUCUGACGCUGAGGCGCGAAAGCGUGGGUAGCAAACAGG
rnacentral:rRNA from 1 species